AUGGCGCUGGACCCCCCUGUCUGGCUGAUCAAAAGAAUAAACAAGCUGCUCCGUGGGUUCCUGUGGGCACAAGAUCAAAAUGCAGCGGCCAAGAAGUGCUUGGUGAACUGGCCAUCUGUUUGUCGCCCCAAGGAGUUUGGUGGCCUUGGCAUCAUGGAUAUAGCACGUCAAGGCAGAGUGCUCAGAUGCCGUUGGCAUUGGUUGCAAUGGACGGACCAAACCAAGCCAUGGCAGGGCAUACCUCUUCUGCCAGAUAGGGCGGCCGAGGAGUUAUUCAGAUCCUCAACCACCAUUAUAAUCGAAGAUGGCAGACUCACCUCUUUCUGGGACUCGCAUUGGUCCAAUAGGCUCCGCCCCGUCGACCGAUGGCCGGAGGUGAUCCACCAUUGCACAAAACGUCGGAUUUGUUUGCGCGAUGCACUCACCGAAAACAGAUGGAUGUGA
rnacentral:rRNA from 1 species